GCUUGCUUGGUGGAUCAGUGGCGAACGGGUGAGUAACACGUGAGCAACCUGCCCUGGACUCUGGGAUAAGCGCUGGAAACGGCGUCUAAUACUGGAUAUGAGACGUGAUCGCAUGGUCGUGUUUGGAAAGAUUUUUCGGUCUGGGAUGGGCUCGCGGCCUAUCAGCUUGUUGGUGAGGUAAUGGCUCACCAAGGCGUCGACGGGUAGCCGGCCUGAGAGGGUGACCGGCCACACUGGGACUGAGACACGGCCCAGACUCCUACGGGAGGCAGCAGUGGGGAAUAUUGCACAAUGGGCGGAAGCCUGAUGCAGCAACGCCGCGUGAGGGAUGACGGCCUUCGGGUUGUAAACCUCUUUUAGCAGGGAAGAAGCGAAAGUGACGGUACCUGCAGAAAAAGCGCCGGCUAACUACGUGCCAGCAGCCGCGGUAAUACGUAGGGCGCAAGCGUUAUCCGGAAUUAUUGGGCGUAAAGAGCUCGUAGGCGGUUUGUCGCGUCUGCUGUGAAAUCCCGAGGCUCAACCUCGGGCCUGCAGUGGGUACGGGCAGACUAGAGUGCGGUAGGGGAGAUUGGAAUUCCUGGUGUAGCGGUGGAAUGCGCAGAUAUCAGGAGGAACACCGAUGGCGAAGGCAGAUCUCUGGGCCGUAACUGACGCUGAGGAGCGAAAGGGUGGGGAGCAAACAGGCUUAGAUACCCUGGUAGUCCACCCCGUAAACGUUGGGAACUAGUUGUGGGGACCAUUCCACGGUUUCCGUGACGCAGCUAACGCAUUAAGUUCCCCGCCUGGGGAGUACGGCCGCAAGGCUAAAACUCAAAGGAAUUGACGGGGACCCGCACAAGCGGCGGAGCAUGCGGAUUAAUUCGAUGCAACGCGAAGAACCUUACCAAGGCUUGACAUAUACGAGAACGGGCCAGAAAUGGUCAACUCUUUGGACACUCGUAAACAGGUGGUGCAUGGUUGUCGUCAGCUCGUGUCGUGAGAUGUUGGGUUAAGUCCCGCAACGAGCGCAACCCUCGUUCUAUGUUGCCAGCACGUAAUGGUGGGAACUCAUGGGAUACUGCCGGGGUCAACUCGGAGGAAGGUGGGGAUGACGUCAAAUCAUCAUGCCCCUUAUGUCUUGGGCUUCACGCAUGCUACAAUGGCCGGUACAAAGGGCUGCAAUACCGUAAGGUGGAGCGAAUCCCAAAAAGCCGGUCCCAGUUCGGAUUGAGGUCUGCAACUCGACCUCAUGAAGUCGGAGUCGCUAGUAAUCGCAGAUCAGCAACGCUGCGG
rnacentral:rRNA from 1 species